AUUUAAAUAGCUUAAAGUAUUAAAGUUUAAUAUUGAAGAUAUUAAGAUAAGUUAAAUCUUUUUAAAUA
rnacentral:tRNA from 1 species